rnacentral:lncRNA from 1 species
AGCUCGAAACAAAUGACUGUGAAUGAAAAGCCCUAUAGGAAACGUACAACACAAAAAUUCCUACCUUACACUAUUUAACUGCUAAAAUCAACUCAAAUCAACUUAAGUCCACUUUACAUCAACAAUAAAUUGGACAAGAAAUUGACCAAGUUAUUCAAGGCCAAAUUUGACGUGUAAAAGCACACUUUGACGUCUAAAGACCGCUUUACAGCUUGCAAGAAAACUUGCUGCAAUUUCUUGCAUACAAGACUUUCAUGCAAGUCUAUUGCAUGAUCUUUUACAGCUUGCAACUCGGCUUGCAUGCAAUUUGAAAGUAUUACCCUUAACCUAACUUAUAAACUUUUGUUUUUUUUUAAUUACUUUAUUGCUGUUUAUUUAACUUGGUAAAUUUCGAAAUGCCAAGACUAUCAGAAAUAACCAAAUAUAAAAGGAAAAAGGCGGUAGCAGCAACUUUAAGUAUUAUUAUUGCUGCAUCCAGCCUUUUAGUCACUAAUUUGGAACGCCGAGAUCGGAGAUGGUGAGUAAGAUCUAGUUGAACAAGAAGAGGGGUAAUAAUGUAUCUCCAACAGAAGAAUUUAUCCAAGUAGAUGAUGAAAAUGACUCUAAUUUUCUAGGAAUGAAUGUACAUUUUAAUAAACCCUUGGGAAAAAUUGAACAAUUACAAAGAAAUCUAUAUUUCGAAAUACUAUUUCUACGAAAGACAAAUUAAUUAUUAUCCUAAGGUACUUAGCUAGAGGAGAGAGAGCUUCCGUAGCUUAAUAAACAAUUAUUUACAAUAAUUAUAGAAUCUCAGAAAGUGCCAUUUCAUUAUUCAUUCAUUUCCAUCGUUGAUAUAAUUUCACAAACAGAAAACAGCUGAUCGGCAUGUAUUCGUGAAUCCGUGUCGUCAAUGACAUUUGAUAUUGUGGAAAAAUCAAAUUCCCCUAGACUUGCAUGAAAACUUGCAGAAAAAAUGGCACCAAACCGAUUAUCGCGCAAUUGCAAGAAGUUGCAUGCAAUAAUCAACUGACGACAUACUGCGCAUGCCUUUAGGCAACUUUCUUGCGUCUUGCAGGUAGAAUUGCAAGCUGUAAAGCGCCCGUUGUUUGUUCGUUAUAAACUUCACGUGAAGAAAUUGACGAAAAAGAAAAUUGUUCUAUUUUUUCAUUUUAUUUGGCGUGAAUUCAGUGUCACAAACAAACCUGUGUCCAUUUGGCGGGAAGUGGAAGUAGAGCUUUUUGUUUAUUAUUAUUUGUUGAGGUUGAGUCUUUCAUGUUCAUGACAACCUAAAAAUUUUGAUUGGAAAAUGCAUAUAAGAUAAGGGGGUGGAAAAAUGGAAAUUAAGUAGUGGCUUUUUUUUUGCAGUUCUGUCUGUUAGUUUUGCGUUUUGCUCUGGCUGGGUCUCUUUUGUUUAAACAAUUAUAAUCAGCUGAAAGUGGUCUACAAAAAAACCAGGAAGGAAACGUAUUAUAGCCUUGUUGUGGCUAUGAAAGAUACCUAUAAAAAGUGUAUUGACUAGUUGGAAGAAACUCCACAUUGUCGAUGCAUAAUAAGAUAUUACUUUAUAAACAAAUAUCAAGACCUAGGAAUGGAACCUGGAUAAUAUAGUCAUCAAGAAGAUAGCAGGAAGUCAUGAGCAACAACAACUUCAUAAGUAUGAGAAUAUUGAGGAAAUCCAGCUCCUCAUAUCUACUACUGAACAAACUAGAAGAUUGAAGAGGACAAAGCCUUUUGAACUAGUUUGAGUGAUAGGUGAUAGUGAAAAGCAGAGCGUAGUGCUUGUGUGCCUGUGUAUGUUAGAAUAGUGCACGAUCUUGUUAGAUUAGAUAAGAGACGCUAUGGGGUAAGCUCUUCAUUUUAAGGAACAGUAGUAAUUUAGGUUAAAUUAAAAUUGCUCAUUGGUCAGUUAUGACCAGAUUGUAAUUCUCUGAUGUUUGGCAAAAUGGGCUUAAGUCAGAAUUGCACAUCAAUAAUGUUUUGAUGAUUUCUGGACCAUAAAAAAAGUGUUGCAGACUUAAACUGUAUGUACCAAUAAAAAGAGCCGAUUUUUCUGGUCCAGAAAUCAUCAAAACAUUAUUGAUGUGCAAUUCUGACUUAAGCCCUUUUUCCCAAACAUCAGAGAAUUGCAAUGUACAAUUCAAUACAAAUGAAUCAUCAUCGUAGUGAUGAUUAUGGAAAAAAAUAUAUGACAAGAUUUUGUGCAAUAAAAAUGUUUAUAUUUA